GCCCCUGUGGUGUAAUGGUAACACAAAAGGUUUUGAUCCUUUAACUGCGAGUUCGAUUCUCGCCAGGAGCU
rnacentral:tRNA from 1 species